rnacentral:rRNA from 1 species
AUGCACGCUGGCGGCGUGCCUCAUCCAUGCAAGUCGAGCGAACAGAUGAGGAGCUUGCUCCUCUGACGUUAGCGGCGGACGGGUGAGUAACACGUGGAUAACCUACCUAUAAGACUGGGAUAACUUCGGGAAACCGGAGCUAAUACCGGAUAAUAUAUUGAACCGCAUGGUUCAAUAGUGAAAGACGGUUUUGCUGUCACUUAUAGAUGGAUCCGCGCCGCAUUAGCUAGUUGGUAAGGUAACGGCUUACCAAGGCGACGAUGCGUAGCCGACCUGAGAGGGUGAUCGGCCACACUGGAACUGAGACACGGUCCAGACUCCUACGGGAGGCAGCAGUAGGGAAUCUUCCGCAAUGGGCGAAAGCUUGACGGAGCAACGCCGCGUGAGUGAUGAAGGUCUUCGGAUCGUAAAACUCUGUUAUUAGGGAAGAACAAAUGUGUAAGUAACUAUGCACGUCUUGACGGUACCUAAUCAGAAAGCCACGGCUAACUACGUG